rnacentral:rRNA from 1 species
GGCCUAACACAUGCAAGUCGAACGGUAACAGGAAGAAGCUUGCUUCUUUGCUGACGAGUGGCGGACGGGUGAGUAAUGUCUGGGAAACUGCCUGAUGGAGGGGGAUAACUACUGGAAACGGUAGCUAAUACCGCAUAACGUCGCAAGACCAAAGAGGGGGACCUUCGGGCCUCUUGCCAUCGGAUGUGCCCAGAUGGGAUUAGCUAGUAGGUGGGGUAACGGCUCACCUAGGCGACGAUCCCUAGCUGGUCUGAGAGGAUGACCAGCCACACUGGAACUGAGACACGGUCCAGACUCCUACGGGAGGCAGCAGUGGGGAAUAUUGCACAAUGGGCGCAAGCCUGAUGCAGCCAUGCCGCGUGUAUGAAGAAGGCCUUCGGGUUGUAAAGUACUUUCAGCGGGGAGGAAGGGAGUAAAGUUAAUACCUUUGCUCAUUGACGUUACCCGCAGAAGAAGCACCGGCUAACUCUGUGCCAGCAGCCGCGGUAAUACGGAGGGUGCAAGCGUUAAUCGGAAUUACUGGGCGUAAAGCGCACGCAGGCGGUUUGUUAAGUCAGAUGUGAAAUCCCCGGGCUCAACCUGGGAACU